GCACAAGCGGUGGAGCAUGUGGUUCAAUUCGACGCAACGCGAAGAACCUUACCAGCUCUUGACAUGCCCGGUAUGGGGUCGAGAAAUCGGCUCCUUCAGUUCGGCUGGCCGGUGCACAGGUGCUGCAUGGCUGUCGUCAGCUCGUGUCGUGAGAUGUUGGGUUAAGUCCCGCAACGAGCGCAACCCUCACCUUCAGUUGCCAUCAGGUUAUGCUGGGCACUCUGAAGGAACUGCCGGUGACAAGCCGGAGGAAGGCGGGGAUGACGUCAAGUCCUCAUGGCCUUUAUGGGCUGGGCUACACACGUGCUACAAUGGCGGUGACAGUGGGAUGCGAAGGCGCAAGCCUUGGCCAAUCUCAAAAAGCCGUCUCAGUUCGGAUUGUCCUCUGCAACUCGAGGGCAUGAAGCUGGAAUCGCUAGUAAUCGCGGAUCAGCACGCCGCGGUGAAUACGUUCCCGGGC
rnacentral:rRNA from 1 species